GCCCAUUGAAUAAUUUUUAAAAGGCCGCAGUAUCCUGACUGUGCUAAGGUAGCGUAAUCAACUGUCCCCUAAAUAGUGACCUGUAUGAAUGGCUAUACGAAGAAAAAGCUUUCUUUAAUCUAGAUUAUGAAUUUAACCUCUUAGUUAAAAGGCUAAGAUAACCUAAAAAGACGAGAAGACCCUAAAGAGUUUAACAAAAAUGCUUUUAAAAAUCAAUUUAAAAAUCAUAAUUUUAAGCUUAUUUGUUUGAUUGGGGCGAUAAAAAAAUAAGAAAAACUUUUUUAGUUCAUUUUACUUGUGUCUAAGAUUUUAUGAUCCAGUACUAGUGAUUAAAAGAAAAAAUUACCUUAGGGAUAACAGCGUUAUACUUAUUGAGAGUUCUUAUUGACAUAAGUGUUUGCGACCUCGAUGUUGGAUUAAAACUACUUUAUAAUGCAGCAGUUAUAAUAGUGGGUCUGUUCGACCCUUAAAAUUUUACAUGAUCUGAGUUCAGACCGGCGUGAGCCAGGUUG
rnacentral:rRNA from 1 species